rnacentral:rRNA from 1 species
GGUGAACGCUGGCGGCGUGCCUAAGACAUGCAAGUCGAGCGGGGCAGGUUUAUACCUGUUCAGCGGCGGACGGGUGAGUAACGCGUGGGUGACCUACCCGGAAGAGGCGGACAACCUGGGGAAACCCAGGCUAAUCCGCCAUGUGGUCCUGUCCUGUGGGGCAGGACUAAAGGGGCGACCCGCUUCCGGAUGGGCCCGCGUCCCAUCAGCUAGUUGGUGGGGUAAAGGCCCACCAAGGCGACGACGGGUAGCCGGUCUGAGAGGAUGGCCGGCCACAGGGGCACUGAGACUCGGGCCCCACUCCUACGGGAGGCAGCAGUUAGGAAUCUUCCGCAAUGGACGGAAGUCUGACGGAGCGACGCCGCUUGGAGGAGGAAGCCCUUCGGGGUGUAAACUCCUGAACUGGGGACGAAAGCCCCGUGUAGGGGGAUGACGGUACCCAGGUAAUAGCGCCGGCCAACUCCGUG